AGGAUGAACGCUGGCGGCGUGCUUAACACAUGCAAGUCGAACGGAGAGCUCAUGACAGAGGAUUCGUCCAAUGGAUUGGGUUUCUUAGUGGCGGACGGGUGAGUAACGCGUGAGGAACCUGCCUCGGAGUGGGGAAUAACAGUCCGAAAGGACUGCUAAUACCGCAUAAUGCAGCUGAGUCGCAUGACACUGGCUGCCAAAGAUUUAUCGCUCUGAGAUGGCCUCGCGUCUGAUUAGCUAGUUGGCGGGGUAACGGCCCACCAAGGCGACGAUCAGUAGCCGGACUGAGAGGUUGGCCGGCCACAUUGGGACUGAGACACGGCCCAGACUCCUACGGGAGGCAGCAGUGGGGAAUAUUGGGCAAUGGGCGCAAGCCUGACCCAGCAACGCCGCGUGAAGGAUGAAGGCUUUCGGGUUGUAAACUUCUUUUAUCAGGGACGAAAUAAAUGACGGUACCUGAUGAAUAAGCCACGGCUAACUACGUGCCAGCAGCCGCGGUAAUACGUAGGUGGCAAGCGUUAUCCG
rnacentral:rRNA from 1 species